GAAAUGCGAUAAGUAAUGUGAAUUGCAGAAUUCAGUGAAUCAUCGAAUCUUUGAACGCAACUUGCGCUCCUUGGUAUUCCUUGGAGCAUGCCUGUUUGAGUAUCAUGAAAUCUUCAAAGUAAAUCUUUUGUUAACUCAAUUGGUUUCUACUUUGGUAUUGGAGGUCUUUGCAGCUUCACACCUGCUCCUCUUUGUUCAUUAGCUGGAUCUCAGUGUUAUGCUUGGUUCCACUCGGCGUGAUAAGUUAUCUAUCGCUGAGGACACUGUAAAUGGUGGCCAAGGUAAAUGCAGAUGAACCGCUUCCAAUAGUCCAUUGACUUGGACAAUACUUUUAUGAUCUGAUCUCAAAUCAGGUAGGACUACCCGCUGAACUUAAGC
rnacentral:misc_RNA from 1 species